rnacentral:rRNA from 1 species
UACGGAGGGUGCAGGCGUUAAUCGGAAUUACUGGGCGUAAAGCGUGCGCAGGCGGUUUGUUAAGACAGAUGUGAAAUCCCCGGGCUUAACCCGGGAACUGCAUUUUUAACUACCAGGCUAGAGUCUGUUAGAGGGGGGUGGAAUUCCGGGUGUAGCGGUGAAAUGCGUAGAUAUCCGGAGGAACACCGAUGGCGAAGGCAGCCCCCUGGGAUAAGACUGACGCUCAUGCGCGAAAGCGCGGGGAGCAAACAGG